CUUGGCUGGGUGUUAUAGAGCAGAUGUUCUCUCUCCCAUCUUGCUGAGGUGGGGGAGUAAGUGAACAGCUGUGUUGUGCUGAGCUGCUGCUAAGUUAAAGCUACUGCGCUACCAAAUUCACCUGUGUGAUUUGGUCAGGGCCCCACUACUACUUCUGCAUAUCAUGUUGGAGAGAGUCUGGUGCCUCUGCUCCUCCAUCCUUUCCUUCCUGGAUGUUCGUGUGGGACCUUGGUGACAGCAGACAGAAUUGGAGAUAAUGAGCACUGCGUGGAACAGCAAUGCCUGAGUUCAGCUCUGCCUUGUGAGAAACAGAGCAAGAGGCUGGUGGAGGAUGGGGAAUUGAAAAUGGUCUCAAAGGAAGUUGAAGUGGGGGGAGAGAAUGGAGGAAGGAUGCCCAGCUGAUAGACAGCACCUCUACCUUGCAGAAGAUUCAUUCCACUGCACAUUUUGAAUCUGCUGACAAGAAACUUGCAGUGCAAGUAAUCAGAGCCUUCACAAGAUUGAUUUUUGUCCCCUGCUGGUAUAUGGCAUACGGGGGGGGGAAAAGGUUCUCAUCUCUCAGUGUAAUCUUAACUAUUUAGAAGCCAUUAUUGCAGGAUUACAAAUCACUUGUACCUUUCUUGUGCAACUUCGUUAUUUAUUAGCAAGUCCAGCAAAUUAGUCAGGUAAUAUUAUGUAGGGUUCCAGUCCUGAAGCUCUGUCUCAAGUGUGUUGCUGGAUUGUUCCCUCAAUUUGCAAAUGCUAGUAAAUCUAUGAAGUUCCAUAAACAAUACUGCAUAUUGCUGAGUGCAAAUAUUUAGCAUUUUUUCUAUUUUUCCUAAUUGCAGAGAGGGCUUAGCAAAUGUUGCAUGUGUAGCUCACUUUUCAAAGUGACUCGAUAAAAUUGCAGAUGCAUUCUGUCCUAGGUUUGUAAGAAAUGCUUAAAGUCAACUUGUCAUAGAGACUAAAUUGAAUCUGCUACCUAUACAGCUCUGGAAGGGAAGAUGUAUGGGGGGGGGGGGGGGGGGGGAAGAGAAGCAUGAGAUUUAUCUGAUGUUUGGUUGAUGUACGGCUAUAUAAAAUCUUAAGUAAUACAGAUAAUGUCACACAAUAUUGCAACAUAUAUUUUCACUUGAAUGUUAUAAGACAAUAAGGCAUAAAUGGAAAUUAAAGGGAAAAAAUCUGAAUGGUUGUCAGAGAACACUUCUUCAUUCAGAGAAUCAUAAACAUAUGGAAUGGUGUGUCAGGCAAAGUUCUGAGAUAAGAAGGGAGUAAUUACGAAAUGGAUUUAUAUCCUGAGGUAUAAAGUACAGACAAUGGAAAAGAGCUUUAAGUCACGUGAUUUUUUUUUUUAACCCUCACUAAAAUUAACCCUCUCUAAAAAGAAAUGCUCAUGAUGAUUGUAUUUAAUAGGUUCCAUAUAAUCUAUUGCAGUUUGCCUUUUCUUUGAUCACUGAUGGAAAAUAGACAUGUGUAAGUUGUCUCACAUUCACACACUGUGUACUUUUAAUGCGUAUCAGUAUAUCAAAAUUAAAUAAUAGAAAUUGAUAUGUUCCAUAGCUCUAUCCAUACUGAAGUUACUUCUUGAUGUAAAAGUAAUGGCUACUUAAAACAUAUGAAUUCUUGAUACUGGGAAAUACUCAAAGUGAAUUUCAACUGAUGAAUGUAUUAAAAAAACAGCUUCCAGGGCAAAUAAAAUCAAUAAGUAUAUUUUCAUGUGUGAAACAGGUAAUUAGAGGAACAGUUAUACAAAAAUACAAAAUAACUUGCCAUUGCUAUUCCAAGGAAGAGUGGGGAUAGCAAGGACAUCACUCGGUCUUUGAACUGCUUCAAGAAAUUCAGAUAGGAGAAAAAACUUUUGUAGGACAUUUACUGUUGAGACUGAGAACUGUGAUAGUGGAUUCACAGAUUCUGGUUUACUGAUUAUCUCCUGAUUUGUAUAUGCAUAGGCUGGAGUUAAUUAGUUAGAGCAGCCAAUCUGUAGCCCUCAUACGUAACUGGUAAAUCCCAUUAGAGGUGGAUUGCCUCUCUCUGUCAUCUCACUACUUUCCAGUCUUACUGUUGUCUUCAAUGGACUGAACUCACUGUGUUUACUUCAGAUACCUCUUCUUGGACAAGCAAAGAGAAAUUGAAGUCUAAUAUCUAAACGUAAUGAUAAUGCAUGUAUCUAAAUGUUAUGUAAAAUAUAUCCAAAUUUCAGUAUUUUUCUAAGCUUUCAGUCUAGUCUAUGUUGCUGUGCUGUGAGGCUGCAUCUUGUAUGUGUAAGGCCUCCCACAAAGGUGAGGUACCAAUGAGUAAUGUAUGGAUGUUAAUGUUAAGACAGUCUCUUUAAUGUAGAAGUGAUCCUACAAUGCAUGAAGAAUUACUAUGGUGGAUGAAAAUCACUAUAUUUCCACUAUGUCCACAAUGGGACAAUGAGCAUACUGACUGGCAUUGCCCUUUUUCCAGACAGUAACUUCAGAAAUUCUUGCUAAAUGGGUGACUUUAUUUUCUACCUAACAAAAAUUGGGGUGAAAUAUAGAAACAGAAUGGGAAGACCUCUUAUCCUGUCCUAUCUUAAAUGAGAGUGAAGAAAGAUGAAGCUUAGUAAAAGGCUUUUGUUGUGGUCCUUGAAAAGGAAAAAAAACUCAUAUUUUUCAGGGGAAAGAAAUUGCCCAGGAAGACAAGCUAACUCAUGCUAAUGAGCAAAACCCUAUAGUUAACAUGGGAAAGAACUAGAUUUAACAAAGACAGCCUGUACACUGUCUGUACCUAUCCCU